GGUUGCCUUAGUGUUUCAGCAUCUAAAAAAUUCCAAAAAGAGACGCAAAAAAUUGGACAUUCUAAGAAGCCGAGGAAACUUUGCCCACAAUGCUGCUGUUUUGAAACGAUGACAUCGAGAUUGACCCUGAAGAAACAGUUGAUUCCUCACAAGAUAAGGAUGUGUCAAGUGAUGAGGAUGAGACUGUUCAACCUACAACUGAGGCCACAGGAAAAGACAGGCAUGACGACACGGAUGAAGACGACCAUGAGACAUCAGAGAACGUAUCUUCACCUCCGGCUGUUUCCAGUUCCAUUUCUCCCAGAGCUCCACUCAAUCAAGACAAAAGAGGUAAUUCUAAGCGCAUGUGGUAAGCGAGUGAGAUCCGUGCAGUGGACCGACACAUGAUGCGGUUCAUCAACACCUGUAAGGUACCUCGAAAGAUGGACUGCAUACUCUGCAUCAAG
rnacentral:lncRNA from 1 species